rnacentral:rRNA from 1 species
GAGUUUGAUUCUGGCUCAGGAUGAACGCUGGCGGCAUGCCUAACACAUGCAAGUCGAGCGGAGUUUGAUGGAGUGCUUGCACAAAGUCAAACUUAGCGGCGGACGGGUGAGUAACGCGUGAGUAAUCUGCCUUUUACAGGGGAAUAACAACGGGAAACCGUUGCUAAUACCGCAUAACAUACUUGGGUGGCAUCACUUGAGUAUCAAAGGAGCAAUCCGGUAGAGGAUGAGCUCGCGUCCGAUUAGCUAGUUGGUGAGGUAAAGGCUCACCAAGGCAACGAUCGGUAGCCGAACUGAGAGGUUGAUCGGCCACAUUGGGACUGAGACACGGCCCAGACUCCUACGGGAGGCAGCAGUGGGGAAUAUUGGGCAAUGGGCGCAAGCCUGACCCAGCAAUGCCGCGUGAAGGAUGAAGGCUUUCGAGUUGUAAACUUCUUUAGCCGGGGACGAAACAAAUGACG